UUUUUUUUUUUUUUUUUGGUCUCAGCCACGGGGACAUGUUCAGGAAUAGAGGGGAAUAGUGACUGGCUGGCUGUUCUGAGCCGGGGCUAGUAUUCCAGGCCGGCUGUGCCUGAGCCCGUGUGUGCCCCAGACCUUCGCGGCUCGGCGGCUGGAAGGUGGAGCCAGCGGCUUCUCCCCGGUGCCCGAGGACAACCAUGUUGGCGUCUUUCUCUUGGUCACAGCCGGAGCUCCACGGGGAUCUGCUGGGCUGCAGGAUGCUGCCAACGGAUGCGGGUGGCCCGCGUGGCCCCCAGAGCAAUCGGUGCCUGGCCUACUGCUCACCUGGCAGCUCCAGCCCUCACGUGCAGUCCCUCAGAAGAGCAUUGCUCCCGUUAGAAAAAAGGCCACCUGACUUCCCUUGACCCGUCUCUUCUUGAAACAAGAGUGAACCAGCAAAGUAUUUCUGAAGACAUGGUAGGCAUCUGGCAGCUGUUUUGUUGACAAACACUGUCCCUGCCAAUGGAUUGUCUAAGAAUGAGGAGAGGGAACCAACUGGAGCAAGG